UCCGGCGUCCAUAGAGAAGAGGGUACACCCGAUCCCAUUCCGAACUCGGAAGUUAAGCUCUUCAUCGCUGAUGAUACUGCAUACAUCUUUUAUGUGGGAAAGUAAGCCGACGCCGGAG
rnacentral:rRNA from 1 species